UACAGAGGUCUCAAGCGUUGUUCGGAAUCACUGGGCGUAAAGGGUGCGUAGGCCGCACGGUAAGUCAGAGGUGAAAUCCCGGAGCUCAACUUCGGAAUUGCCUCCGAUACUGCCGUGCUUGAGGACUGGAGAGGAGAUUGGAAUUCACAGUGGAGCAGUGAAAUGCGUAGAUAUUGUGAGGAACACUAGUGGCGAAGGCGAAUCUCUGGACAGUUCCUGACGCUGAUGCACGAAGGCCAGGGGAGCAAACGGG
rnacentral:rRNA from 1 species